rnacentral:lncRNA from 1 species
AUUCUUUUGAGCGUUCUUGAUGAAGGUAAAUCACGUUUUGGACGCAUGAAAUUUAUAAUUAACAGUUUUCAUUUUUACAACACAUGGUAGAUACCACUACUGGGAGUCUAGCAAGCCCCGAGGGCAUCAACGGCUCAUUCAAUUGUCAGUACUUUGGUAACAAAAUAACUCUUAAACUGUACCUUCAUCAAUUUUGAAAUUAUCUAAGAAAAUAUAUCGCCACCCCCA